rnacentral:misc_RNA from 1 species
GCUACUACCGAUUGAAUGGUUUAGUGAGGACUCCUGAUUGGCGCCGCCGCCCCGGCAACGGAGCAGCGGACUGCCGAAAAGUUGUUCAAACUUGAUCAUUUAGAGGAAGUAAAAGUCGUAACAAGGUUUCCGUAGGUGAACCUGCAGAAGGACA